rnacentral:tRNA from 1 species
AUUCUAAUAGUGUAUUAUGCAUACUUUAUUUUGAUUAAAGGGGAUUAACUUUAUUUAGAAUA